rnacentral:tRNA from 1 species
AGCAGCCAUGGCGCAGUGGUAGCGUGUGGGGUUUGCAACCUUGAGCUUACUUGUUCGAAACAAGUUGGUGCUG